rnacentral:rRNA from 1 species
AUUGAACGCUGGCGGCAUGCCUUACACAUGCAAGUCGAACGGCAGCGGGCCCUUCGGGGUGCCGGCGAGUGGCGAACGGGUGAGUAAUGCAUCGGAACGUACCCGGGAGAGGGGGAUAACCGGCCGAAAGGCUGGCUAAUACCGCAUGAACUCGGAAGAGCAAAGCGGGGGACCUUCGGGCCUCGCGCUCUCGGAGCGGCCGAUGUCCGAUUAGGCUAGUUGGUGGGGUAAAGGCCCACCAAGGCGACGAUCGGUAGCGGGCCUGAGAGGACGAUCCGCCACACUGGGACUGAGACACGGCCCAGACUCCUACGGGAGGCAGCAGUGGGGAAUCUUGGACAAUGGGCGCAAGCCUGAUCCAGCAAUGCCGCGUGGGUGAAGAAGGCCUUCGGGUUGUAAAGCCCUUUCGGCGGGGAAGAAAUCGGUCAGGCGAAUAGUCUGGCCGGAUGACGGUACCCGCAGAAGAAGCACCGGCUAACUACGUG